UCGCGCUGCUGGGCGGGUCUCUCUGGCUCUCCUUGGCUGCCGGGAAGUGCAAACGGGGCUCUGCAGAUCGCCUGGUCCACGCCUGGCGCUGGCGGCUCUGCGGGUUGCUGCAAGCUGCCAGGCGGGUUCUGCAGCGGCCGUGGAGAGUGCAGACUCUGCGCCAGCUGUGGGACGCUCCCUCUGUGCACGAGGUCCGUUGGCCACCGAACCACGAGGUCGGGGAAGGUGCAGGAAUAGCGAACGCAGAAGCUUCCCAUUUGUUCACAUCUCAAGAAUCACCGUCACCUCCCCUCAAGCCGCCAGGGCGCAGGUGCCCCCAGCAACUUUUCUCCCAGUGUCUAGUGCUGAUCUGUCUCUCACUACUGAACAGGAAGUUGAGGAGUUGUCCAGGCCUCUGCAGCAGUCCCAGGGUGUUUUCCGGUUUUAUCACGCCCAGCUCACCGAAACAUUUCUUAAAGAACUUAAAGGGAACGUCAACUUGACCAACAAAUGCCAUGUUUUGCAACGCUCCAACACUUCAUUUCAAGAACUGCUGUCUUCCGUUUACAUUUAAGGACAUAGAACUCAUAAGCCCACCCUGGUCAACUUGGUUCUCUUGAACAAUUAACUGCAGUUUAGCUAAUUACACUUAUCUUUAGCUUGAAACCAAGCAGCUAUUCACACUGCUCAUGUUGUGUGGUGGUCACACAGUGACAAAAAUAAAUAAAUAAACAAACAAAUAAAUAAAUCCCCUUCUCUGUGUCUGCCCUGCGCCAUCCUUGUCCUGUUUGGUCCUUGCUGAUGUUCUUCUCCUCCACUUAACGUCUGGGAGCACUGCAGGGUUCUCAGGAAAAUUCCAGGAAAUAGACAUUUCCCCUAGAUCCUGCUCGACAUCCUACACUUGCUUCAUGGAUUUUGCCUCUUGCGCUUGUCUAUUCGCUUCCAACAAAACCUGGUUUCAUCCUUAUUAUAUUCGGUUUGUGUCCUCCUCUUCCUCGCUCUGGUCCUCUUUCUGUCCCGUCUCUUCCGCCU